UACGUAGGGUGCAAGCGUUGUCCGGAAUUAUUGGGCGUAAAGAGCUCGUAGGCGGUCUGUCGCGUCGGCUGUGAAAACUCGGGGCUCAACUCCGAGCUUGCAGUCGAUACGGGCAGGCUAGAGUUCGGCAGGGGAGACUGGAAUUCCUGGUGUAGCGGUGGAAUGCGCAGAUAUCAGGAGGAACACCAGUGGCGAAGGCGGUGCUCUGGGCCGGAACUGACGCUGAGGAGCGAAAGCGUGGGUAGCAAACAGG
rnacentral:rRNA from 1 species